rnacentral:rRNA from 1 species
UACGUAGGUGGCAAGCGUUAUCCGGAUUUAUUGGGCGUAAGAGAACGCAGGCGGUCUUUUAAGUCUGAUGUGAAAGCCUUCGGCUUAACCGGAGUAGUGCAUUGGAAACUGGGAGACUUGAGUGCAGAAGAGGAGAGUGGAACUCCAUGUGUAGCGGUGAAAUGCGUAGAUAUAUGGAAGAACACCAGUGGCGAAAGCGGCUCUCUGGUCUGUAACUGACGCUGAGGUUCGAAAGCGUGGGUAGCAAACAGG